GUUUGUGGUGAAAGCUUGUGCAUGGAUAAAUUCAGUUUCCUUUCCUCGCUCUGCAACCGAUUCUGCUUCUUGUGAUAAGGUUUGCUUGAGGAGGGAGAGAGGCAGAGAGCUGAAAGUCUAAAAGCUCACAAAAGCACAGACAACUUCACAGAGCAGAACAGAUACAACUUGUCUGCAGCACUGAAAAUUCUUCAUCGAUUCAGAACUCAUUCAGAAGGAGAUUUUAUACUACUGGCGUGAGGACUGAGGGACUCUAAGCUCCAAAUCGAGGAGGAAUUAAAAAAAUGCUGUUCGUCCUGGUUUCAUCCACACUUCUGUGUGUUAUUGCAUGGAUGAAUUCAAUUCAAGGAAUACAUGGAUUGGUGCACAACUGCAAAUGUCUCAAGCCAACAGACACAAAAGUUAAUAAAACAAAAAUUGUCAGCUGCACCAUUCAAGAAGAAAGCAUCUGUAAUGUAAGAGUUGUAAUGUUUCUAACAGUCAAAGGAAAGACUAUUUGCGCUGACCCAAACUCCAGUUGGACAAAGGAAGUCAUAAGGACCUUGGAGGAAAAGAAAGCCAGAAUGACCUCAAUACCGAGCCAGUGCCGGCCCUGGGCAUGGUCGACAUAGGCAUCUCGGAACCACCAUCUACUGGAGGGGGCUUCAAAUCACAAUAAUUUUAUUUUCAUGUUGGGGGUUUUUUCAACAGUUUGUGACACCUCUUAUUUCAUAUAAAAAUAAAAUAAUAAGAAUAAAAAAAUAACUUAGAAUAGAAAUGACCUCCAGAUUCAGCCCAUCACAAAUGUAUUUUUGUAAUUCUCCUUUUUUUUUGU